AGGAUGAACGCUGGCGGCGUGCCUAACACAUGCAAGUCGAACGUCCUGUCUCGCAAGAGGCAGGGAGUGGCGGACGGGUGAGUACCACGUGGGUCAUCUACCGUGAGGUGAGGAAUACCGGCGAGAAAUCGCCGACAAGACCGCAUAGGCUCGAUGCAAGUCGAGCAAAGCUCUUUCGAGAGAGGGAGCGCCACACGAGGAGCCUGCGCCCGAUUAGCUAGCUGGUGGAGUAAUGGUUCACCAAGGCGACGACGGGUAGCCGGCCUGAGAGGGUGACCGGCCACACUGGGACUGAGAUACGGCCCAGACUCCUACGGGAGGCAGCAGUGGGGAAUAUUGCACAAUGGGCGCAAGCCUGAUGCAGCAACGCCGCGUGAGGGACGACGGCCUUCGGGUUGUAAACCUCUUUUAGUAGGGUAAGAAGCGAAAGUGACGGUACCUGCAGAAAAGCACCGGCUAACUACGUGCCAGCAGCCGCGGUAA
rnacentral:rRNA from 1 species